rnacentral:lncRNA from 1 species
UUGCUAAGGUAACGCGGUUCAUGAGGUGUUCAAAAAAAAAAAAGGGGUCCACGAUCAUCGUCCAAAUGUGGACUCGCCCCAUGGUUGCACGGCCAACUUGGUUCUUAUCAUCGCAACUUUUGCAAAGUUAUGCAGCACGAACACGAGAACAUGCAAAGCUUGGAUAUUAGAUAUCUUUUGAUCAGACAGAGACAGAAGCGUCCGUUGCUAACGCUAGCUCGGAACAUAGACAUUCGGGUGCUAGCAUGUCCAUUUCUCGUUUGUUUGCUACUCUCUCCGUCCCAAUUUAAAUGCCAUUGUAACAUUUAAAAAAAAUUCCAGAAUAAAUGCGUCAAUAGCAAUGGGUGCUCAUCCGUCCAACAUUGCACAUGUACGGCUGUACACGUGAGCCCAUUUGUUAAAAAAAAUCUGAACCACCACGAGUGAAAAAUCUGAAACAUUCUACCUUCUUUCCCCACCGCUCGUUUUGGUUUCUUCCCC